rnacentral:rRNA from 1 species
GAUGAACGCUAGCGACAGGCCUAAUACAUGCAAGUCGGACGGGAUCCAUCGGAGAGCUUGCUCGAAGAUGGUGAGAGUGGCGCACGGGUGCGUAACGCGUGAGCAACCUACCUCUAUCAGGGGGAUAGCCUCUCGAAAGAGAGAUUAACACCGCAUAACAUAUCUGACCGGCAUCGGUUGGAUAUUAAAUAUUUAUAGGAUAGAGAUGGGCUCGCGUGACAUUAGCUAGUUGGUAGGGUAACGGCUUACCAAGGGGACGAUGUCUAGGGGCUCUGAGAGGAGAAUCCCCCACACUGGUACUGAGACACGGACCAGACUCCUACGGGAGGCAGCAGUAAGGAAUAUUGGUCAAUGGGCGGAAGCCUGAACCAGCCAUGCCGCGUGCAGGAUGACUGCCCUAUGGGUUGUAAACUGCUUUUGUCCAGGAAUAAACCUAGAUACGUGUAUCUAGCUGAAUGUACUGGAAGAAUAAGGAUCGGCUAACUCCGUGCUAGCAGCAGCCGCCGUAA